rnacentral:lncRNA from 1 species
GGUAAUUGAAAUAUAGGUUUAGAGCUUAUUUUUGAAUAUUUUUCGCAAUAAUAGUGGUGGGUAACAUUUUAGAAAAUAUAAUAGAUCAAUGGCUAUGAUUAUUAGAGUUUAUAGGAUUGGUGUUUGACGUUUUUAAUUUUUAUGAGAAUUUGUCUCUUUUUUCUAGCUUGUCUCGUGGGAACUAAUGCGAAGCCUCCAAUGAAAAAAAAUGAGACUACAUUGCUAAAAAAC